UAAAAAGUGAUUCUAGCUCGAAGUAAAUAUUACUUAAAAAAUUAUAUGAAACGCAAACAAUUAAAUUACUUUAAUGUUGUUUAUUUUUUUUUUACGUUUUCUGAACUUAUAAUUUGCAUUAUAAACUGAACUAAACAAGCUUGUCAAAAUCUACUUAAUUUUUUUAAGUUUCAAGCAACAAUGUUGAACUGAGUUGACACAACUUUAUUUGAAUCAGUUCAAAUUAAAAGAAGCUUUGGUUCAAAUACAGAGCAAGACGUGCACCAUUUACAGCCGUUCGACUGGCAGUGCCAAGGCCGGAGCGUCAGGAAGAAGAAUGCAAGGCAUAAUGAGCUGUUUGGUUAAGGUAAGUUUAUUUUUAUUUUUAAAUAAAGGUGCCAAUAAAUGUGCAGUACUGUAGGAAUGUUUUUGUUUUUCUUACAAUUUUAAUUCACGUUUUUUGAGAACACUGUAAAAGAGAUAUUUGAAUUAGCAACAGAUUUUUUUAGCACCCGACAUGAGUAAUCUCAUUCUCAGGAGAAGCUCCAUCUUUGUUGGAUCUUGUUGGAAUAAACAACAAUGAGCCUGUUUGUGGCACUUUAUUAAGAACAAAAACAGCAGCAUUACUUGUGCUUUUAUAAAAUUGAUUAAAAAAUGUUUUGUUUGUCUAGGGAGCAGUCACCACUGAGCCUGGUGGAGUAUGUGGGGGGAACAUGGCCUGCUCGCAGAACACUUUGAUGAGGGUGAGGUCAAUAUUUCACAGCACAUCAUGAAGAUCUUCACAGUGAAGGAAGAGGGUGCAACAGAGGAUGAAGGUAUCUUUGAG